UGGGGAAUUUUGGACAAUGGGCGAAAGCCUGAUCCAGCAAUGCCGCGUGUGUGAAGAAGGCCUUCGGGUUGUAAAGCACUUUUGUCCGGAAAGAAAUCCUUGGCUCUAAUACAGUCGGGGGAUGACGGUACCGGAAGAAUAAGCACCGGCUAACUACGCGCCAGCAGCCGCGGCAAUACGUAGGGUGCAAGCGUUAAUCGGAAUUACUGGGCGUAAAGCGUGCGCAGGCGGUUUGCUAAGACCGAUGUGAAAUCCCCGGGCUCAACCUGGGAACUGCAUUGGUGACUGGCAGGCUAGAGUAUGGCAGAGGGGGGUAGAAUUCCACGUGUAGCAGUGAAAUGCGUAGAGAUGUGGAGGAAUACCGAUGGCGAAGGCAGCCCCCUGGGCCAAUACUGACGCUCAUGCACGAAAGCGUGGGGAGCAAAACAGGAUUAGAUACCCUGGUAGUCCACGCCCUAAACGAUGUCAACUAGUUGUUGGGGAUUCAUUUCCUUAGUAACGUAGCUAACGCGUGAAGUUGACCGCCUGGGGAGUACGGUCGCAAGAUUAAAACUCAAAGGAAUUGACGGGGUCAUAGCUG
rnacentral:rRNA from 1 species